UUAUACAAGAACUGCCUCCACUCUUUUUAUUUUUUGAAAAAAGUGAGGCGUUUUAUAAUAGUCUAAAUGUAUUAAAAUUACAAACAUGUCCUUCAUAUGUCUCUUUUGUUAGUAAUUUUCUUAGAAGAUUUUGACUGGGAGAAGGUUGUUGAGGAGUAUAAAAUUGAUCGUGGAAAAAUCUUAAAACUAAAUCAGGUGGUUUUACUAAUUCAAUAAACCAGUGGCUAGUGAAUCAAUUAGUCUGCAUCGGUGGAGAAAGCUAGCUUGUUUUUGGAGGAGUUAGCACAUAGUAGGUCUUUGGAGCUGUGAUGCUGCUGUGUAUCAGGUGUUGGCUGGCACUAUAAAUAUUGGCUCCAACAUAUUCAAGCUUUUGGCAACAGGAUUGAUUAAGUGUGUGCGCGCAGGUUUUCCCUGUUGGUUCCAUGUGCUUGUUAAAUUCAUAGUGGUCUUCUUAUGCAUCUUGCUUACAGUUUUGCACUACUGUUUUUUGCAUAUUAUGCAGCUGGGUGUUUUUGAGUGCAAAAGAGACAUGGUACCGCCGAUAUCUGUCGGCAUUCCUUCUCUUUUAAUUACAAAAAAUAGCAAAGUAAGAUUUUGAAGCACAAAAAAUUAAGGAAUUAGUCUCCCCCAGCUUCUAUUGAACUAAAAGCUUCUAUCUCUGGGGAUUAGUUAACAUAUAUGAAUAAUCAUAUUUUUUAGUGGAGUUAAUUUUUAAUUGAAAUCCUAAA